rnacentral:rRNA from 1 species
UACGUAGGUGGCAAGCGUUGUCCGGAAUUAUUGGGCGUAAAGGGCGUGUAGGUGGAUUCUUAAGUCGUGUGUCUAAGUGCGAAGCUCAACUUCGUAUAGGCGCAGGAAACUGGGAAUCUUGAGUGCAGGAGAGGAAAGUGGAAUUCCCAGUGUAGCGGUGAAAUGCGUAGAUAUUGGGAGGAACACCAGUGGCGAAGGCGACUUUCUGGACUGUGUCUGACACUGAGGCGCGAAAGCUAGGGGAGCGAACGGG